rnacentral:rRNA from 1 species
UACGGAGGGUGCAAGCGUUAUUCGGAUUUAUUGGGCGUAAAGCGCACGUAGGCGGUUUCGUAAGUCUGAUGUGGAAGCCCGUGACUCAAUCACGGAAGUGCAUUGGAUACUGCGAGACUAGAGUACUGGAGGGGAGAACGGAAUUCCUGGUGUAGAGGUGAAAUUCGUAGAUAUCAGGAGGAACAACGGUGGCGAAGGCGGUUCUCUGGACAGUAACUGACGCUCAGGUGCGAAAGCGUGGGGAGCAAACAGG